ensembl:lncRNA
AUGGAAACAGAGGAAUUGAACGCGGCCUCUAAAAGAGUGCCGAAGAUGACUGUUAAAGCACAAGAGGAACGGCUUCAUCACUUGUUGGGAACUAGAAGAGCCAAGCUGGGACAUUUAACAAGGCAAAUGAGAGAAAUUGAAGCUUUGCUUGAGGACUCUGGUAAUGUUGACACUGUGUAUGAUUGUAUAAAUGGUGAGUUUGCACAGUCCUUUGCUGCAUUCCAAGACAUUAAUUAUGCAACCAGAGAAUUUAUGUCAGAUGAUGAGGCAUAUUUAGAUCAGUUACAUUGGUUCGAACCGAAGUCUCAAGCAGUUAAGCACUUUGUAGACAAGGUUAAAGACUGGGUUGAAAAAGUAAAACUCCAAUCCAAGGAGGCAGAGCAAUGUGAUGCAGAGGUUGAAUGUAAUGACAGUGCCUCAAUGGUUAUCUCUUCUUCACAACUGCCUCUCUUUCCAAAAAAAUCUCGUAGUCAGGUGGCUUCAGGUGUUUCAUCUACAGCUUCUUCUAGACUGAAAAUUGAAACUGAAAGGGCAGAGCUGUUGGCACGAGCUAAUGCGUUAUUACAGAAACAAGAGCUUGAGAGAGAGGAAACUGAGCUCAAAGCAAAGAGGGAAAAUUUAGAGCUCCAAACUGCUAUUGCUGCGGCUGAAGCCAAACUUCAGGUUUUGUCCAUGUAUGAACCAGCUCGUAGUGUUUCUGAUGCAUCUGGUAAUGCAGCUAGGGCUGCCACUAUUGCAGAAACCCUUAAAGCUACACCUAAUCAAGUAGUACGGCCAAAAACAUUUUCUCGUGAGCUAGCACCUGAUACUGAUGCAGUUCCAAGAGACAGUGAUGUGCAUCAUGAUUUUGCUAAAUCACAACCAACAAGGUCAGAUGUGAGAAUUCCUUCACAUGUUGAUACAGGAAGCUUGUUCAACAUAAUGCAACGUCAAAAUGACAUUGCUGAGAUUUUCAUGAAACAGCAGUCUUUAUCUACUCUUCCACCUAUGGAUAUUCCAGUGUUUAGUGGAGACCCGCUGGAUUUCACAUUCUUUAUUCGAGCCUUUGAACAUGGAGUAGAGAGUAAGACAACAAAUAACAAAGACAGAUUGUACUUCUUAGAACAGUUUACCAAGGGGCAACCAAAGGUUCUGGUACGCAGCUGUCAACACAUGCCUUCUGAAAGGGGCUACAAAGAGGCUAAAAGACUACUCUACCAACAUUUUGGUAAUGAGUACACAAUCGCCACUGCCUAUACAGAAAAGGCACUGAACUGGCCAGCUUUAAGGCCUGAGGAUAAUAAAGCCUUAAAUGAGUUUGCUCUUUUCCUUACUGGUUGUUGCAACACCAUUGACAGUGUGGAAUAUGUUGAGGAAAUGGACAGUCCAAGCAACAUGCGUGCAAUUGUAUCCAAGCUUCCUUUCAAACUGAGAGAAAAAUGGAGAGCAGUUGCCUGUGAGCUUCAAGAAAGGACUGGCUUGAGAGCAAGAUUCUGUGACUUGGUUAGUUUUGUAGACAAGCAGGCAAAGAUUGUUUCGCAUCCACUGUUUGGCAAUAUUCAGGAUAACACGAUGGCAAAAGACAAUCUCAAAUUCAAAACAAACAGAUCAAGUAACUUGCAAGUGAAAGAAAGGAAAACCACAUUUGCAACAAGUGUAACACCUGUUCCAGAACCCAAAAAACAAAGAACAAUGGAAAAAGAUCUAGCAAAAGCAAGCCAUGAAACCCUCUGCUUAUGCUGUAAUAAAAACCAUGGAUUGGACGUUUGCAGCAUUCUGAAGCAUAAGCCACACAAUGAAAAACUUGACUUUCUGAAAUCUAAAGGCUUGUGCUAUGGUUGUUUAUUACCAGGUCACAUGAGUAAAGGUUGUGUGCAAAGACUAACUUGUCAAAAAUGCUCAUUAAAGCAUCCGACCAUUCUUCAUCUCCCAGACAGGAAGCCAGUGCUUCCAAAAUCUCAAGAUGGAGACAGCUCCUUAACUGUCACUGACACUGUCAUCAGCGAAACUUGUGGCUGCACUGGGGCUGGUCAUUUGGUGUGCUCUUUAGCCAUAGUACCAGUUAGAGUUAAGUCCAAAAAAAGCAAUCAGGAAGUUUUGACUUACGCCUUCUUGGACCCAGGAAGUUCUGCGACAUUUUGUACAGAACAGCUAAUGAAGGAAUUAAAGCUAACUGGCAGGAAAACAAACAUCCUACUGCGUACUAUGGGACAGGAAAGGUCUGUUAGUACACAUGUUUGCACCGAACUGGAAAUAAGUGGACUGAACGAGAAUAAUUUUGUGGAUCUCCCUCAGGUGUUCUCUCAAAAAGAGAUUCCAGUUAAAGGAGAAAACAUUCCGCAACAGAAGGAUGUUCAGAAAUGGAAAUAUCUUGAAGAGGUGCAUCUUCCUCAGAUCGAUGCCGGUAUUGGCUUACUAAUCGGAACAAAUGUACCUAAGAUUCUUGAGCCAUGGAAGGUCAUCAACAGUAGAGGAGAUGGGCCUUAUGCUGUCAAGACCAUCCUUGGCUGGAUUGUAAAUGGACCUUUGGAGAGAGAGAACAUCCAAACUAACAGAAACACAGGAUGGACACAGGUGAUGGCAAACAGGAUUUCAGUGGUAACUUUGGAGAACCUAAUCCAACAGCAAAUGAGGUAUGAUUUUCCUGAAUGUGAACAAGCUGAAAAUUUGGAAAUGUCCAUUGAGGAUAGACAGUUUAUGAAGUCUGUAUCACAGUCCAUAAAGCUUGUAGAUGGGCAUUACUGCAUUGACCUUCCUUUGAAAAAAAAGGAUGUGAUGUUUCCCAACAACUAUGUUGUAGCUUCUCUCCGUUCACAAUUUCUAAAAAGAAAAUUCAAAAGAAAUUCAGCUUUCUACAUGGACUAUUGUAGUUUCAUGGAGGACAUGCUACUCAAAGGUCAUGCUGAGAAAAUCCCUGCAAGUGAAAUUGAAGGAACCCUUGGCAGAAUCUGGUACAUCCCACACCACGGGGUGUAUCACCCACAAAAACACAAACUUCGAGUGGUGUUUGACUGUGCAGCUACCUACCAAGGAAAAUCACUCAACUCGCAACUGUUGCAAGGACCCAACUUGAAUAAUUCUCUUAUUGGUGUUCUGGUGAGAUUCAGACAUAAGCCGAUUGCCCUUGCAGCAGACGUAGAAGGGAUGUUUCAUCAGGUCAGAGUUCCUGCUAAAGAUAAAGAUCUGUUAAGAUUCCUUUGGUGGCCUAAAGGGGACACUGCACAGGAAGUGGAGGAAUACAGAAUGAGUGUCCACUUAUUUGGUGCUACAUCCUCCCCAAGUUGUGCAAUCUACGCUUUGCAAAGGUGUGCAAAGGACAACAGUGCACAGCAUAGAUCAGAGGUAAUUCAGACAGUCCUUAGGAAUUUCUAUGUGGAUGAUUGUUUGUCGUCUGUGGCUACUGAACAGCAGGGUAUUGCUCUAAUGCAUGACUUAAGGGAGAUGUGUGCAUCAGGAGGAUUUAAUUUGACCAAGUGGAUGUCCAACAGUCGCACUGUACUUGCAUCCAUAAGUGAGGAGAGCAAAGCUAAGACAGUUAAGGAUUUGGACCUGGAGAAAGACAAGUUACCAUUGGAAAGAGCUCUAGGGGUUCAGUGGUGUGUUGAGACAGACACUUUGCAGUUCAAAGUAACCCUACAGGAAAAGCCUCUUACAAGGAGAGGUAUAUUGUCCAUGGUCAGCUCCAUUUAUGAUCCCCUUGGAAUACUUUCUCCAGUUAUUCUUCCUGCAAAGCAAAUACUGCAGGAGCUUUGUAGAACAAAACAUGACUGGGAUGACAAGAUUCCAGAAACUCUCAGACAUCAGUGGAAUCUGUGGCUGGCUAGUCUUCAGAACUUGAAUGACUUUCAGGUUGAAAGAUGCAUGAAGCCACUUAACUUUGGUGAAAUCACCUCAGCGCAGCUGCAUCAUUUUGCAGAUGCCAGUGAGCUGGGUUUUGGCACAGUGUCAUACUUGCUCAUGGAGAAUCACAGAGGUAACCAACAUUGUGCAUUUGUUAUGGGUAAAGCAAGGGUUGCUCCAGUAAAAACAGUUACCGUGCCACGUCUUGAGCUUACUGCAGCUACAAUGGCUGCUAGAAUGGACAAUAUGCUGAAAUCUGAAUUGGACUUGAUUCUUCAGGAGUCUGUAUUUUGGACAGACAGUACUUCAGUCCUGAAAUAUCUCAACAACGAAAGCACGCGGUUCCGUACAUUUGUGACCAACAGGGUAACUGCAAUCAGAGAGCUCUCAAAGGCGUCGCAAUGGAGGUAUGUGAAUUCUUCUUCCAACCCGGCCGACAUUGCCUCAAGAGGACUUACUGUAGAUGCUUUCCUUAAAGCAAAUUCAUGGCUCACAGGUCCAUCCUUUCUGACAAAGCCAGAAUCAGAGUGGCCAAAAAUGCCUAGUUACACCCUUAAGUUAUCUGUUAAUGAUUUGGAAGUUAAGGAAGUCUGCGUAAAUGCAGUGAGUGCAGACAAUUCUGACUAUACUUCUCAGUUCUUUUCACACUACUCCGAUUGGUACCGUUUGAAAAGAGCCAUUGCAUGGUUCCUCAAGUUUAAAAGCACUCUGAAGACACUAAUGGAAAAAAGAAAUGAGCUGUGCCACAGUCUAAGAGACAAUCUAGCAGUGAAUUCUGAACUUCAAAACUUCAAAUCUUCGCUGUCAGGGGUUACAUUGACUGUAAGUGACCUUGAAAAAGCUGAGGAAGAGAUCAUUCGCUACAGCCAAACAAUCAUGUUUCCAGAGGAAAUCAAAGCCCUCCAGCAAGGUAAAACUGUAAAACACAGCAGCGCUCUCUACAAGUUGUCACCAGUUUUGCAAGACAAAAUUCUAAGAGUAGGUGGCAGACUAAGCAGGUCAUCUAUGCCUGAGGAGGCCAAGCAUCCUGCUAUUUUAGCAAAGGACCAUCCUGUUUCACAUCUGAUCUUAAGAUCAAUUCAUGCAGAUGUGGGUCACAGCGGCCGUAAUCACAUGUUGUCAAAGUUACGGGAAAAAUACUGGAUUCCAAAAGCACAAACGGCCAUCAGAAAAAUCCUAUCUCAAUGCACAAUUUGUAAACGCCAGCGCGGCACUACAGGCAAACAAUUCAUGGCUGACCUUCCCCGUGACAGGCUUUUGCCAGAUGAACCCCCAUUCACAAAUGUAGGCAUUGAUUAUUUUGGCCCAUUUGAAAUCAAAAGAGGAAGGACAUUGAUUAAAAGAUAUGGGGUAAUCUUUACUUGCCUGACGUUAAGAGCUGUUCACAUUGAGGUUGCCAGCUCUUUGGACACAGACUCGUGCAUUCAUGCACUAAGGAGAUUUGUUUCUAGAAGGGGUCAGGUUAAAACAAUCAGGUCUGACAAUGGGACAAAUUUCAUUGGGGCAGAAAGGGAGUUGCAAAAGGCCAUACAAAGUUUAAAUAAUGACAGGAUUCAAACCACAAUGCUUGCAAAAGGUGUACAGUGGAUUUUCAAUGCUCCAACUGCAUCCCACCAUGGAGGAGUGUGGGAACGUCAAAUACGGACUGUCAGAAAAAUUCUCAACUCCAUUGUAAAACAGCAGUCUCUUGAUGAAGAAAGUCUUCAAACGCUCUUAUGUGAGGUGGAAGCAAUAAUCAAUAGUCGUCCCAUCACUAAGGUGUCCAAUGACCCAAACGAUUUGGAGGCCCUUACUCCAAAUCAUUUGCUGCUGUUGAAAGUAAAGCCGCCCAUGUCUCCUGGGGUUUUUGACAAAGCAGACCUGUAUUCCAGACGUAGGUGGCGCCAAGUUCAGUAUAUGGCUGACAUAUUUUGGAAGCGCUGGAUCAAAGAAUACUUACCAGACCUGCAAGAAAGACAAAAGUGGCAAAGCCUAGUACAAAAUCUCAAGCCUGGGGACGUUGUAUUGGUUGCUGAUGAUUCCGCACCACGAAACUCUUGGGUAAUGGGACGUGUGCUACAAACAUUCACAGACAACAAAGGUCUUGUGCGGCAGGCCCGAGUGAAAACAAGCACAAACAUUCUUUUACGUCCUGUUACUAAGCUUUGUUUACUUUUAGAGGCAGAUUUAUAG